rnacentral:rRNA from 1 species
AGUGAACGCUGGCGGUAGGCCUAACACAUGCAAGUCGAACGGCAGCACAGUAAGAGCUUGCUCUUACGGGUGGCGAGUCGCGGACGGGUGAGGAAUACAUCGGAAUCUACUUUUUCGUGGGGGAUAACGUAGGGAAACUUACGCUAAUACCGCAUACGACCUACGGGUGAAAGCAGGGGAUCUUCGGACCUUGCGCGAUUGAAUGAGCCGAUGUCGGAUUAGCUGGUUGGCGGGGUAAAGGCCCACCAAGGCGACGAUCCGUUGCUGGUCUGAGAGGAUGAUCAGCGGCAUGGGAACUGAGACACGGUCCAGACUCCUACGGUAGGCAGCAGUGGGGAAUAUGGGACAAUGGGCGCAAGCAUUAUCCAGCGAUACCGAGUGGGUGAAGGAGGCCUUCGGGUUGGAAAGCCCUUUUGUGGGGAAAGAAAAGCAGCAGGUUAAUACCCCGCUGUACUGACGGUACCCAAAGAAGAAGCACCGGCUAACUUCGUG